GAAGAGAGUCCAGCACCUCUCGAGAGAACAGGUUCCAGAGCCCUUGCUGUGCGUCGAAGGGAGUCCAACUAUAUCUAGCCGGAACUUCUCCACCUCGCGCACCAGCUCAGACUCCUUCUCUCCCAGCGAGGUGACGUUCCACAUCCCAAGAGCUAGCUUAUGUAGCCGAUGAUCUGACCGCCAAGUGCCUUGCCUUCGGCUGCCACCCAGCUCACACUGCACCCGACCUCUAUGACUCAGCCCAUGAGCCCCAUGGAGACAGGCCCGGCCACCAGGAAACAAAUAUUUUGUAUGGUUUGCAAAGAUACACGUUUGUUUUUGUACUUAAUAUGACAGUAUAACUGUCAUAUUAAAUAUGAAAGUUAUAUAAACCUAACUCCAAAUCCAAACAUGUAUUAAGUGUAAAAAUGCCUGUAAUAUUGUAUCUAUGUGAAUUUUACAAGAAUCAGGCGUUAUGGAUAAGGUUUAAAAAUACAAAAAAUAGGUUCUACUCAUAAUGACGGUAUAACUGCCACACUCAAUAUGACAGUUAUUUAAACAUAACUCCUAAACUACACAUGAAAAACGGCUAAUAAUGCCUGAAAUAAUGCAUUUUUGUGAUUUUUACUCGAAACAUAUGCUUUUUUGAAUCUUGCAAACACAAAAAGUAGUUUUUUACUCAAUAUAACUGUAAUGUUCUUAAAAUCCUGAGAUAAUGCGAAAAAAGCAAUAAAAAUGUAUUUAAACAUAACUCCGAAACAACAAAUGAAAAAUGGCUUAUAAUGCCUGGAGACAUGUAUGUUUGUUAGUUUUACUAGAAAAAGAUAUUUUGUAAAGUUUGCAAAGACACAUUUUUUUAAAUUCAAUAUGACAGUAUAACUGUCAUAUAAAAUUUGAAAGUUAUAUAAACAUAACUUAGGGCAGCACGGUGGAAGAGGGGUUAGUGUAUCUGCCUCACAAUACGAAGGUCCUGAGGAGUGUGGGGUUCAUUCCCGGGCUCGGGCUCUUUCUGGGUGGAGUUUGCAUGUUCUCCCCGUGACUGCGUGGGUUCCCUCCGGGUACUCCGGCUUCCUCCCACCUCCAAAGACAUGCACCUGGGAUAGGUUGAUUGGCAACACUAAAUUGGCCCUUGUGUGUGAGUGUGAAUGUUGUCUGUCUAUCUGUGUUGGCCCUGCGAUGAGGUGGCGACUUGUCUAGGGUGUACCCCGCCUUCCGCCCGAUUGUAGCUGAGAUAGGCUCCAGUGCCCCCCGCGACCCCGAAGGGAAUAAGCGGUAGAAAAUGGAUGGAUGGAUAAACAUAACUUCAAAACCAAACAUGCAUUAUGUCUAAAAAUACCUGUAAUAUUGUAUUGAUGUGAGUUUUACUAGAAUCAGUUGUUUUUGUAAGGUUUGCAAAUACAAAAAGUAUUUUUUUACUCAAUAUGACAGUAAUGUUCUUAAAAUCCUGAGAUAAUGCAAAAAAAAAGCAAUAAAAAUGUAUUCCAUCAUAAUUUCUAAACCAAACAUGCAAAAUGUGUAAAAAUGCCUGUAAUAUUCAAUCCAUGCGAGUUUUACUAGAAUCAUUUGUGUUUGUAAGGUUUGCAAAUACAAAAAUUAGGUUUUAUUCUCUAUGACAGUCACCCUCAAUAUGACAGUUAUUUAAACAUAACUCCUAAACCACACAUGAAAAAUGGCUAAUAAUGCCUGAAAUAAUGCAUUCUUGUGAGUUUUACUCGAAACAUAUACUUUUUUAAGGCUUGCAAACACAAAAAGUAGUUGUUUCCUCAAUAUAACAGUAUUGUUCUUAAAAUCCUGAGAAAAAAGCAAUAAAAAUGUAUUCCAUCAUAAUUCCUAAACAAAACAUGCAAAAUGUCUAAAAAUUCCUUUAAUAUUCCAUGUGAGUUUUACUAGAAUCAGUUGUUUUUGUAAGGUUUGCAAAAACAAAAAUUUGGUUUUACUCACUAUGAUAGUACACUGUCACACUCAAUAUGACAGUUAUUUAAAAAUAACUUUUAAACCACACAUGAAACAUUGCUAUUAAUGCCUGAAAUAAUGCAUCCUUGGGAGUUUUACUCGAAACAUAUGCUUUUUUAAAUUUUGCAAACACAAAAAGUAGUUUUUUUUUACUUAAUAUGACUGUAAUGUUCUUAGAAACCUGAAAUAAUACGAAAAAAGCAAUACAAAUGUAUUUAAACAUAACUCCUUAACAACAAUUGCAAAAUGGCUAAUAAUGCCUGGAGACAUGUAUCUUUGUUAGUUUGACUAGAAAAAAUAUCUUUUGUAAGGUUUGCAAACACACAAGUUUUUUUUUUCUUUUUUCAAUAUGACAGUAUAACUGUCAUAUUAAAUAUGAAAGUUAUAUAAACAUCCCACACAGCAGGAGACGCCAAACUAAACCGGCGCGCGCCUACGCGGAUACUGAGCGGACCAAUGUCACCCGCGGACGUGGACGCGCCUACUAGUGUGUACGCGCAUGAGCCAAGAUCGAUCAUUUCUGGAUUUUCUUGGCUGGGACACGAACGUAAGUAUAGAUUUAUUGUUUUAUUGCUAAAGGUUGGCCUUUGUCUUUCCAUCAUCAUUUAUGUAUGAUUGUAAUGACGUUGUUUGAUAUUAGGACUAGCAGUAAAACUAUAUUCUGUAAAAAAAAAAAAAAAAAGGCUAUUUUAUUUAAAAUGGAAUAGCAAUUUGGCAGAAUAUGUUAUGGUAGUUAAGUAAAGGUUCUUUGCUGUGUAUUUUUCUUGAUGCAACGCUCGGAGCUGGUAAAUCACGUUGUUAAAUUGUUGUAAAAACCGGACUUUUAUAUGCUAAAUGCCAGAGGUGGGACCAAGUCAUUGCUUUGCAAGUCACAAGUAUGUCUCAAGUCUUUGCCCUCAAGUCUCGAGUCAAGUCCCGAGUCAAGACAGGCAAGUCCCGAGUCAAGUCCAAAGUCAAGACAGGAAAGUCUCAAGUCAAGUCCCAAGUCCUGCAUUUUGAUUUUCGAGUCCUUUCAAGUCCUUUUUAACCACAGACUAAUAUAUUUACACAGAUUGUGUAUGCUUUUAAAACGCUGUAUUUAUUUAUUAAAACAAGUGCAUUUGAAAUUGCAGGAAAAAAAAUAGUGCUGACAUUGCACUUCAUAAUAGCACUAUUACCCAGUCAUUUUAAACAUUUAACUAAUUCCUUUACAGAAUAAACACAUUUGAAAAAACAAGUGCAACUGUACUUAUUUGUAUAAAAGUGUUAACAUUGUAUUUCCAUGGCAUAUUGCAUUGUAACUAGUUCCACAGCAGUUUCUAUCCUGUUCUUACCUUAUCUCAUUGAUCUAAUCUCAUACUGUAUGUGUGUUGAUGUGUGCGUACACAUGGAAAACAUAACAAAUACAUGAACAAAACAAUGAACAGAGUUGUACUUUUUAGAUGUCAGGGCCCUAUGCAGUAUGUACACAUUAGAGAUGCGCGGUUUGCGGACACAACCGCGGAGUCCGCGGAUUAUCCGCGGUUCGGGCGGUUGAAAUAAAAAAAAAAAAGAUUUUAUCCGCGGGUCGGGUCGGGCGGUUGAAAUAAAAAAAAAAAAGAUUUUAAAUAGAUUCAGGCGGGUGGCAGUUAAACCAAUUCGGAAAUAUAUAUACAUAGUUAAAUGUUGUUACCCACAUACGAAAAACGAGCAGGCACCUGCAGCAUAUGCCACAACAGAAGAAGAAAAAAAAAAGAGAUGGACACUUUUACGGAGCGGAGAAGGGACGCCUCGCCGGGGUCCGGGACCGAGGCCCCUUCCCCCGAGAGGGCCCCACCGGGAGCCGUAGCUAAGGUGAUCCGCGAGAAGGGCCCGACGCACGUCCAGGGUCACCACCGCGCCCACCGCACGACACCCCGCCUCGUCCGCCUUCGCCGCGGCCGGCGUCACGCGCAGCAGGUAAGCAGCUUACCUGCCCGCCACCCUCGUUGCCGGGGGCGCGUAACAGGGGUCACUCCGCGCGCAGUGCGCUCACGAAAGGGGUGGGGCAAGCAGAACUGGCGCUGCGGGAUGAACCGAACGCCGGGUUAAGGCGCCCGAUGCCGACGCUCAUCAGACCCCAGAAAAGGUGUUGGUUGAUAUAGACAGCAGGACGGUGGCCCUGGAAGUCGGAACCCGCUAAGGAGUGUGUAACAACCCACCUGCCGAAUCAACUAGCCCUGAAAAUGGAUGGCGCUGGAGCGUCGGGCCCAUACCCGGCCGUCGCCGGCAGCGAGAGCCGCUAGGGCUAGGCCGCGACGAGUAGGAUGGGCGCCGCGGUGCACGCUGAAGCCUCGGGCGCGAGCCCGGGUGCGAGGGACAUUGCACCUCCACGCGCUUGGAGGUGCGCUCAGCGCGGCUCCCAGAUGAUUGCUGCAUUGGAUCAGUCGCCUUUCUUUAACAGGCAAAAGCUUUAUAACCUCACUAAUGCCUUGCAUCGUCUAUAUUAGAUAUAUAACAACGGGCGAGUGCGGUGUUGAUUAAAUGUUAAUUCGGGUGGAUGCGGAUGGUUGACGACUUUUGUCAUGCGGUUGCGGAUGCAAUAAUUGCCUAUCCGCGAAUCUCUAGUACACAUAUUAUUAAUAUAGUAAACAUUUUAACUGACCUUUAUUUGACUAUGUUUGUCUUUUUGUAGGUGGCUAAAAUACGCGGUGCUGCUGACCACCGUCUAACGUUACGUUACUGUGUGUGAUACAUUGACUAACGUUACGUUACUGUGUGUGAUACAUUGACUAACGUAACGUUAUGUGUUGGUACCUCAUGCAACCCUGCUUAAAAAAAAUCACUUGACAAAAAGUAUGAAUAAGGUAGCAAACUGCAGUGGACGCAACAGAUUGCCUUGUUAGCAAUGACGUUAUAACCAUAGACAUCUUAUAAGUAGACGCAGCAUUGGCUGCUGUGACGCGAGCAAUUUGGCCGCCAUCUUGAAGUCGUGAUGAGGAGCCGGCGAGCAGCCUAAACUGACAGUUGACAGGUAGAAAACAUGGAUGUGUUCAGCGUUUUCUUACUCAAAUGCGCGGACUGUUGAAAAUAAGAAUCGAGGGAUUACUUUUCACAAGUAAGAUUUAACAUUACUAUUGGCUGUAUUUUAUGAAAAGAAUAUUAGCACAGAGUUGAGAAGGAGCAAAGAUCUUCAAUAUUUGAAUGUGAAAAUCACAAAUAAAUCUUCUGGGUGAGGAUGACCCCCCUACAGGGGUUUGGUUUACAAACUUUCAGCCCCACCUAAAACAAAAUUCACCAGCCGCCACUGAUUAUGAUGCAUUCUCAUUUUAGGCAAAAUAUAAGACAAUACUUUCUUAACAGUAUAAUUGUAACCAGGAAUAAGUCUUCAAGUAACAAUAUUCAAAUACUAACAUUGUUGGGUAAGACAGAGUUUGGUUUUAUUCUGAAUCCAGUGAAAUAUAAUCUUAGAGAAAAAUUUAAUUUAAAACAUUUGUAUGCACGUACAACACUUAAGACCUUCAGUAUAUCAGUAUGUGGAAUUAAAUUAUGGAAUGGAUUAAGCAAAGCAAUCAAACAAUGUACUAAUAUGAUCCACUUCAAGAAACUCUUCAAACGUAAAGUGUUUACAAAGUACAAAGAACAAGAACCAUGACAAACAUUCACAAUUUACUUCAUCCAUCCAUUCAUUCAUUCAUUCUCAAAAUAAACUUAUUUAUCUCAUCAUAUGAAAUAUGACUUACUUCAACAAUUAUUAUUAUUAAACUAUUAUUAUUUAUUUAUUUUUAUUGUGAUUACUUAUGGAGUAUAUUGUGAAUAAAUUGUGAACAGGAAGUGAACAAAAAGUCUUAGCAAGUGUUAUGUAAAAGAAAAGGGGUAGGAUUAAAUAAACUGCUUCUUCCUACUCUUUUUCGAACAUGUUGAAAAGAGAAACUAGAAAUUGUGAUGUAUCAUGUUGUAUGCUUGCAUGUUCGAAAUAAACUCAAACUCAAACUUAAACAGAUUGGCGGUUUUAGCUGAUAAAAAGACUUUCAGGUGUUUAUAUAUGUUUAAGUAUUUGGCAGACGCUUUUAUCCAAAGCGGCAUACAUAAAAAAUACAUUAAAAAACAAUCACUGUAAACAUGAUCAUUUAAGGGAAGAAAUACAAAAUAUCAAUACAAAGUGUCAAGACAGAAUAAACUCUCUGCUGCUGCAGCAACAGAGAUACAGUCUAUAGGUCCCUAAGAUAUAUAGAUGUCUAAUGUAUUCAUACAUUGUUUAUGUAGGAUAUACGCAUGUAUAUAUAACCUAAUCAUAUUGUUUCUUCAAUUUAAAAAUAGCUGACCGGUUUUUUCCCCCUUCUCUGGGAUUAUAUUCCCAGUUUUGAUCUCGGACGUCUGGUCAUUUAUAGCGUAUAAAAUAUUAUAUUACUGUUAAGCAAACAUUAAUAAUAAAACACGCCAAAGCAUGUGUCCGUUAUCAUAGCUACACGUAUGACAAAAAAAGCGUGUUAAAAUCAGUGGUAUUCAGUGAGGUAAGAUGAAUUAAAGCUGACAGUUCAUAGCUCCUGCCAAAUGAAUUGCACUGAGUGGAGCGGAUCACCACUCCAAGAUGGCGGCCCCGCGUCUCGUCUGCGCCAGUAGGCAGUAGCGCUCGAUGCUGCGUCUACUUAUAAGAUGUCUAUGGUUAUAACGUUAGCAGUGAGUUUACAGCCUCACUGAUUUAACUACACAGCAAAUUAAAGUCACGUUACUUAGCCAAUAAACGUUAGCUUACAUUCAAAACUUACCCUUCUUUGUGCAACUUCAAUGUCGAACGAAGUUGGAAGUUGUUGCGUCUCCGUCUGUAAUAUUCGAACUGCGUGAUUUGCAUACGGCAAUUCGUUUUUUGUUGACCAAGUCGUAGUUUUUAUACCCGAACGAAAGCAACUUUGGCAUAAUUGUUUUUUUCCUGCCGCAUUGUUUGACAACUCUUGUUCAUUGGUUCUCCUGCAAUUUGAUUGGAUGAAUGCUGCGUGAUGAAAACAACGUAGAUCUAAUUUGAUUGGCUAUUGUACUGAGAGCACACACGCUGACAGGAACAUCAUGCUGAUCGACACAGACGUAGAAAAUGAAAGAUACGGAGCUCUCCCAAAUAACUUUUUAAUCUUUGGGUUUUGUGGAAAGUAGCAAGUCAUGUCAAGUCAAAAGGCUCAAGUCCAAGUGAAGUCACAAGUCAUUGAUGUUAAAGUCUAAGUCGAGUUGCAAGUCUCUACAUUUUGUCAAGUCGAGUCUAAAGUCAUCAAAUUCAUGACUCGAGUCUGACUCGAGUCCAAGUCAUGUGACUCAAGUCCACACCUCUGCUAAAUGCUGCCGCUAGCAUUUAACUAACCCACGUGGAUUAGUUUAAUGCUAGCGGCAGUUAUUACGGUGUUUGCUGGUCUCGUGAGUUUGCGCACGGGCCAAAAACUCAGUGUCUGUGUGGACAUCGUGUGUGCCGCUGAGACAUUAAUUUGAGUGUGUAUUAUUUCUCUCUUUAUUCUUUAGUGGAGAGAGAUCCUGUCUACUUGGACUAGUGUGACGCCCUGUUUUUGUUUCCAUUCAAAAAGAGCAUCAUCUAUUGCCUGGAUUUUUGCCUACAAUUGCUCCUGCUGCGUUCGCUUAAUCAACGCAACCUUAAGACGAAGGACACGUGUAGACGUUCAAAAAAGGCUUCAUCAGAUUCAGACAGACAUGACAGGAUAAGGGGCAGAUGACAGAUGACGUUUCUGUUGUCCGAACUUGUGUGCUGUGAGAAAAAAUGUGGUGACAAGGUCAGCCACGGACGCUGAGGUCACCAAACACGCGAUCAGAUGGUUCAACCUAGCGGCGGAUCGGGCGGCGAGGAGACGAGUCCCGCCUCCACCUCCACAGACAGAUCAGGAGGAAUAGAAAUUUAUCGAUAAAAAAUCUUUUUUGAACUUCUUGUCAUUCACCAGUUAUUCAUUUUCUGAUAUGUUAG